GUUUGAUACCCCGAAACUACGUGAGCUACUUCAAGACAGCCUAUUAAUAGGGCUAACCCAUCUCUGUGGCAAAAGCGUGGGAAGAACUUUGAGUAGAGGUGACAAACCUACCGAACCUAGUUAUAGCUGGUUGUCCAAGAAAUGAAUAAAAGUUCAGCCUCUAAGCUUCUCCUUUCACCUGAACUUAACCCCUUUAGAUGUAUUAAAGAAACUAAGAAAGUUAGUCAAAGGAGGUACAGCUCCUUUGAAUCAAGACACAACUUUAACAGGCGGGUAAAGAUCAUAAUAACCAAAGCUAGACAUUCUGGUGGGCCUAAAAGCAGCCAUCCCUUAGAAAGCGUUAAAGCUCAAACAUAUUACUUAUACCUUCUUAUCCUGAUCAAUAAAUCUCACCCCCCUAACCAUACUGGACCCUCCCAUGCCCCCAUGGGUGUGAUUAUGCUAAUAUGAGUAAUAAGAGAGCCCGCCUCUCUCCCUGCACACGUGUACCUCGGAACAGACAACCCACCGACCAUUAACGACCCCAAACAAAGAGGGCAAUAAAUCAUAAACUAAAAUCAAGUAAAACAUUUAAAAAUUAACCGUUAACCCCACACAGGUGUACCCCAAGGAAAGACCUAAAGAAAGAGAAGGAACUCGGCAAACACAUAAAGUCUCGCCUGUUUACCAAAAACAUCGCCUCUUGUACCCCCC
rnacentral:rRNA from 1 species